rnacentral:tRNA from 1 species
AUCGCGAUAGCUCAGCUGGUAGAGCUUCUGCCCGGUACGUGGAGGGUCGCCGGUUCAUUUCCGGCUCGCGGCU